CGCCGCUCACCCCGCGGCCGCACCUUCCCGCCUUCUCAGCUUACAUGGCGUCUUCAACAAAAAGUAAUUGUUUAGAGAAGUGACAAGAUGAAGGAGGACUCUGAGUCCUAGUCUCCCUCCUCGAGUCCCUGUGUGAGCAGAGGUAAACAAUGAAAACUCACCAACCAGGAGAAAUUCACCUAGGACUGGCGCAGAAGGUAUACACCAUGAGCCUGGAAAUGAUUUAAAAAACAACACAGGCUGGGCGCGGUGGCUCACACCUAUAAUCCCAGCACUUUGGGAGGCAGAGGCGGGCGGAUCACUUGAGGUUUGCGAGUUGGAAACCAGUCUGACCAACGUGGAGAAACCCCGUCUUUACUAAAAAUACAAAAUUAGCCAGGUGUGGUGGCGCAUGUCUGUAAUCCCAGCUACUGGGGAAGCUGAGGCAGGAGAAUCCCUUGAACCUGAGAGAUGGAGGUUGAUGUGAGCUGAGAUCACACAAUUGCAGUCCAGCCUGGGCAGCAAGAGUGAAACUCCAUCUCAAAAAAACAAAAAAAACAACCCACAACUGUGGGCCAAAGGGACACAGCGACAAGGGGUCCCAAUGGGCGAGGCUGGAAUAACUUGAAUAGCAGAAUAAAGUAGCAUUGGAUUAUAAUGCACAGGGCUGAAGAAAUAUCGAUGAGUCUUUGCUGAUGUAAUAAGUGACUGAAUGAGCUGGGCAGAGUGGGACCUGUAGUUCAGCUACUCAGAGGCUGAGGUGGGAGCAUCAGUUGAGCCCAGGAGUCAAGGCCUAGUAAUAUCCCAUUUCCAAAAUAAAAGACUGAAUUAAUAAAUAGAUGGGAGAGAGGAGACAAUUGACCAUGCAGGAGGAGUCCAAAUAUUUGUUCUUUGAGGCAGGAUCUUCCUCUGUCAUUCAGAAGGCUGGAGUGCAAUGGUGCGCUGUUGCCUUGCUGCAGCCUGGACCUCCUGGGCUCAGGCAGUUGUCCCACCUCAGCCUCCCAAGUAGCUGGGACCAGAGGCAUGCACAUCCAGCCGAGUCCAAAUAGUGUAUGCAGAUAUGCCCUCACAGAGGUGACCUGAACUUUCUGAGUUGUGAGUGAGCUUCACCUGGGGACCUCCUUUUAGGUAGCAGGGAAAAAGAGGAGGGUGAGCCACACCCAGGCACCUCCUUCCAGAGAGCAUGUGCCUCAGCCUCCAGAGUAGCUGGGAUUGCAGACAUGUGCCACCAGCCCGACUAAUUUUUGUAUUUUUAGUCGAUACGGGGGGGUCUCACUAUGUUGCCCAGGCUGGUCUUGAACUCCUGGGUUCAGGUGAUCUUCCCACUUCAGCCUCCCAAAGUGCUGGGAUUACAGGUGAGAUAAAACUUCCUUAUUCACAGACUACAUGAUUGUCUAUAUAGAGAACACUCAUCUAAAGCAACAGCAAUGAUUGCCACAAAGACCCUCGUAGAGCCAGUAAGUGAGUUUGGAAUGUUCACCAGUAACACAUACAAAUUAAUCUUAGGGCUGCGUGCAGUGGCUCAUGCCUGUAAUCCCAGCACUUUGGGAGGCUGAGGCCGAGGCUGGUGGAUGGCCUAAGGUCAGGAGUUUGAGACCAGCUGACCAACAUGGUGAAACCCUGUGUCUACUAAAAAUAGGAAAACUAUCCAGGCAUGGUGGCGGGCACUGUAAUCCCAGCUACUCAGGAGGCUGAGGCAGGAGAAUCGCUUGAAUCCGGGAAGCAGAGGCUGCAGUGAGCCGAGAUCGCACCAUUGCACUCCAGCCUGAGCAACAAGAGUGGAACUCUGUCUCAAAAAAAAUAAAAGACCCGGUGUGGUGGCUCAUGCCUGUAAUCCCAACGCUCUUUGGGAGGCUGAGGCAGGCGUAUCACCAGGUCAGGAGUUGGAGAUCAGCCUGACCAACAUGGUGAAACCCUGUCUCUACUAAAAAUACAAAAAUUAGCCGGGUGUGGUGGCACACACCUGUAAUCGCAGCUACUCAGGAGGCUGAGACAGGAGAAUUGCUUGAACCUGGGAGGCAGAGGUUGCAGUGAGCUGAGAUCAUGCCACAUUUGAACCCGUGAGGCAGACGUUGCAGUGAGCCGAGAUCAUGUCACUGCACUCCAGCCUGGGCAACAGAGCCAGACUGUCUCAAAAAAAAAAAAAAAAUCUUACUUCUAUAGACAAUAAAACAUUGGAAACUGAAGUUAAAAACACAGUAGCUCCUGAGAGAGAGAGAGAGGUAUAAAUCUAACAAGACAAAACAGGAUCUGUAUGCUAAAAAGACUAUGUAUGUGGAGAGACGGCACACAGCACGCUCAUAGACUGGAAGACUGAACAUAAGAUGCCAGUCUCAGAAGGAUCUGUGAAAUUAACAAAAUUCCAAAACAUUGCAGUAGGACUCUUUUUAGAUUUAGAAAAGAUGAUUUUAAAAUGUAUACAGAAUGGUGAAGGAGCUAGCUAAAACAGUAAAAAGGAUAGAUAAAACAAUGUUUUAAAAAGAACAAAAAAGUUAGAUGAAUCACAUUACACAGUUUUAACAGACUUUAAAGCCACAAAAAUCAAGACUGUCGUAUUGGCAAAGAACAGACAGAUGGGUCAGUGAUCAGAGAGUCUAGAAACAGACCCACAUAAAUAGGGCCAUUUGAUCUUUGACAGCAGUGCAAACAAAAGCAACCCUGUGGAGAAAGGAUUGUCCAUUCAACAGAGCAGUGGGGCAGUUGGUCAUCCAUAUGGUAGAAAUGGAACCUUGGCCUAAACCUCACAUUGUACACAAUUAACUCCAAUCAUAUGUAAACGUAAAACAAAACUAUAAAAUGUUUGGAAGAAAACAGAAAAAUACCUUUGUACCUGAUGACAUUUGGUAGAGUUCUUAGACAUGAUCCCAAAGGCAUAAUCCACAGAAGAAUCCAUAAAAGAAAAAUUUGUAAAUUGGACUUUAUCAAAAUUAAAAACUUACUUUUUUGAGAUAGGGUCAUGCUGUGUUGUCCAGGCUGGAGUGUGGUGGUAAGUCAUAGUUCACUGCAGCCUCGACCUCCCGGGCUCAAGCCAUCUUCCUUCCUCAGCCUCCUGAGUAGCUGGGACUAGAGGUGCAAGCCACUAUUCCUGGUUUUAAAAAUUUUUUCCAGAGUCUGAGUCUUGCUGUAUUGCCCAGGCUGGUCUCAAAUUCCUAGCCUUAAGUGAUCCUUCCACCUUCGGCCCCAAAGUAGUUGAGAUUACAGGCAUGAGCCACCGUGCCUGACCUAAAAACGUUUGAACUACCAAAGACAGUGUGAAAAGAAUGAAAAGAUGAGGAGAAAAUAUUCACAAAUCACCUGUCAACUAAGGACCUGUAUUUGGAAUACACAGAGAACUCUUAAAACUCAACAGUAAGAAAACAGUCCAACUAAAAAGUGGAAAAGACCUGAUCAGACAUGCACCAGCAAUGACACAGCAUUGACUGUUGGGCACAGGAGAAGAGGCUUGACACCACCAGCCACCAGGAAAUGCAGAUUCAGCCACCACGCAGGACACGAGGCACCUGCACCACAGCCGCAGUGCAAGAGAAUGCUGGUGGUGCCCCAAGCUGCCAGGGUGUGGACCUGCUGGAAAUGGAAGACGGCAUGGUGGUUUCCUAUAAAGUUCAAUGUACACAGCCACAUGACCCAGCAAUCCCACUGUUGGGUAUUUAGAGAAUGAAAAACUUAAGUCCACAUAAAAACUGUACGUAAAUGUUUACUGAUGCCUUAUUCAUAAUCAUCAAAAGCUGAAAUUCAAAUGCCUUUCAUUGGGUGAACUGGUAAACUGUGGUAUAUCUAUGCAGUGAAAUACUCCUCUGCAGUGACAAUGGGGAGAGACUGACACAUUGGGCACCAUGGGGGUGGGAAGAGGUGAAGGAAGGUUGGGGGAAGGCGCCGUGGUCAGGUGUGGCACUAAGGAGAUUUGGGGGUGGAGCCAUUCUGUGUGUGGACUGUGGUGGUGGUCGCGUGACUGUACAUGUGUUAAAGCUUCAAACAAAAAAGUUAAAAAUUUUAGUUUAAAAUAUUAAAACAUUUUUAAAAAUGG
rnacentral:lncRNA from 1 species